rnacentral:rRNA from 1 species
UACGGGGGGGGCAAGCGUUGUUCGGAAUUACUGGGCGUAAAGGGCUCGUAGGCGGCCAACUAAGUCGGAUGUGAAAUCCCCAGGCUUAACCUGGGAACUGCGUCUGAUACUGGAUGGCUUGAAUUCGGGAGAGGGAUGCAGAAUUCCAGGUGUAGCGGUGAAAUGCGUAGAUAUCUGGAGGAAUACCGGUGGCGAAGGCGGCAUCCUGGACCGACAUUGACGCUGAGGAGUGAAAGCUAGGGGAGCAAACGGG